rnacentral:rRNA from 1 species
CCUACGGGGGGCAGCAGUGAGGAAUAUUGGUCAAUGGGCGCGAGUCUGAACCAGCCAAGUAGCGUGAAGGAUGACUGCCCUACGGGUUGUAAACUUCUUUUAUAAAGGAAUAAAGUGAUGCACGUGUGCCUUUUUGUAUGUACUAUAUGAAUAAGGAUCGGCUAACUCCGUGCCAGCAGCCGCGGUAAUACGGAGGAUCCGAGCGUUAUCCGGAUUUAUUGGGUUUAAAGGGAGCGUAGAUGGGUUGUUAAGUCAGUUGUUAAAGUUUGCGGCUCAACCGUAAAAUUGCAAUUGAUACUGGAAGACUUGAGUACAGUUGAGGUAGGCGGAAUUCGUGGUGUAGCGGUGAAAUGCUUAGAUAUCACGAAGAACUCCGAUUGCGAAGGCAGCUUACUAGACUGCCACUGACACUGAGGCUCGAAAGUGUGGGUAUCAAACAGGAUUAGAUACCCGAGUAGUC